UGUCAGCAAUAAGCCUUCAAGUGAAUUAUACUAAUUAAUUUCUGUAGGUCAGCAUUAUCCAUCACCUCCAUCAUAAGACGAAGGGAAGCCUCAAUCCAGAAACCAAGUUGCAUUUCAAAAGCUUUUUUGAGUGGGUAUCCAGGGAUUGGAAUUCGUAGUUUUGCAUUUUAAAUGGGAUGUGGAGUUUAGAGAACCAGGACGAUGCCCAAGGGGUUAACUCUCUUUCUUCUCUGUAGAGGUCAUGCACAGGGGAGACUAGGAGCAAGUACUAGAAGGACCCAGUGGGGAUGCUCUUACUGCUGUCUUGGCAGUACUUGUGCUGCAAAUAAACAAACUUCAGUCCUGAAGACUCUCCAGUGUGUAACUUUGAAGGCAUGAAAUUCACACACACAGAAUGGACAUCUCUGCCUCGACUGGUAAUAAAAAAAGAGCUGGAUGGUGUGAAGCCCCAGAAACGCAGCUCCAUCACUCCUCACAAUUACUGUGUCUUAUUGAUAACUCGCAGCUCUAUCCAGCAAAUGCCAUCUCUGGAACAAAGCCUGUCACAGAUCAGACCGAAUCCAUUAAAAAGCUUUGAUUAACAUGUCCCUGGGGUGUGCUGUGGAAACUUUUUACACCAAAUGACAGCCUAUUGCGGCAGCUUCGGAAUUGUCCUCCUGAAAUACUCUUGUGUUUUAAUCUAGUGCGCAGUUUAAAUUAAAAAACGGCAAUGACUUUGUGUGACCUAAAUACGAGCCACUUCUAUUCAGGGUGGGAUUUAUCAACUGCUUGCAGAUUAAGUGUUCAGAGAAGCAACAAUUAACCUUACUGUGUGGUGGCUAAUAUUAAUUAUAUAUAUAUUAUACAUAGGUUGUGUGUAUAAUCUCUUCUUCUUUCUUCUAUUCUUAAACAUGGCCUAGAGAAAGGGUCAUAGUUAAUGUGCUUAAUUUAGUGGAUACAAAGCCUUGUGCUGAUUCUUAGUAGAAAACAAAUUUGUUUGUGUUUGGGGAGUACAAUAAUCACUGUUCUGGUGCUUUUUCAUUGGUCUCUGAC
rnacentral:lncRNA from 1 species